GGAUUACUCCUUUACGCUUUCGCGUUUGGUUGAUAAAGAUUCGCACCUCUAUCAAACCGGGUAAUCCCACCUCUUGGCAAGACCUGCUGUCAGAUCAAAUCUGAACUACUACAGGUUAUAACACCUGCUGCGAGAUCGUUCAGGCACAGAUACCAGCAUUAUUGGUGCCAAAUACCAGUACAAAGCUGGAUGAUCAGUAC
rnacentral:sRNA from 1 species